rnacentral:rRNA from 1 species
GGGUCAGUAGGUUGGUCGUGCCACCGGUACGUACUGGUCUCACUGAUUCCUCCUUCCUGAAGAACCGUAAUGCCAUUAAUUUGGUGUUGCGGGGAAACAGGACUGUUACUUUGAAAAAAUUAGGGUGUUUAAAGCAAGCUAACGCUUGAAUACAUUGGCAUGGAAUAAUGAAAUAGGACGAUCGAUCCUAUUUUGUUGGUUUCUAGGAUUGACGUA